AAGAAACACCCAGUGCAUCAUACUGUCAUGGUCUGGGUGAGUCUGAGUAACUUUCCACAGCAUCAGCUCUCCUCCUCUGGGUGGAGCCCUUCUUGCCCCACCCCGUUCCUCAGCUGCAGGCAAUUAUUCUGGCAGUAUUUAGGAGCAGCGCACACAAUGAGUCUUCGCCAGAUUGUCUGCUAACCUCAGUUAGUUCACAGCCUCAUGUUUUUGUGUAUCUCUUAGUGUGUCUUACUUACCUCCCUUUUCCUGUCUCCUAGUCGGUACCUGGACUCAUCAUCCAAACCCUGCCAUAGCCACGCUUCUGGAUUCCGGUCAGCUGCUGCUUAAUCCUUUUCAGGCAAACUGCCAUUCACACCUGCCUGCCUCCCUGCGCACCCAUAAAGGACUCAGUACCCGCCCGGACCUCGCCUCACCUCCACCUCCAGCUUAUCCCCGCCCGCGAACACUGACCCUGGUCUGCCACAGUUUCCACCUGCCCCACUCCAGCCCUCAGCAGUUUAGUGACCUGACAGUUCCAUGCUUAGCCUAAGCCCAGCACUUCACAGACACCACGCUUUUGCUCAAAGUUUAAUCUUGUUUUUGUCUUGAGUAUCUAAGUUAGGAAUUCUGGUAAAUAAAAGUUUUUGUUUUUGCAAAUCA